rnacentral:ncRNA from 1 species
CAGAGUAGUUAACAAGCGUUAAGUGCCUCAUUACGGGAAGUAUAGUGAGGACGAAGGUAAUCCCGCGGUUUGUUAGCGCAUCCGCUGU